CACAAACAGCCCAGUUUCCUUUAAGGAGUCACAGGAAAGGUCAGCCUCGUCGAGUGGCAGGGGGACAGCACCACUGGAAACCACCAGACAUGUGGCCAGAUAAGCAUAAUGGGACACGGGUUCAAGUCCUGGUCCAGGAAGAUCCCACAUGCCGCAGAGCAACUAAGCCCGUGAGCCACAACUAUUGAGCCCGUGUACCACGACUACUGAAGCCCACGUGCCUAGAGCCCAUGCUGCGCAACAAGAGAAGCCGUCGCAAUGAAGAGCCUGCACACCAUAAUGAAGAGUAGCCCCCGCUUGCCGGAGCUAGAGAAAGCCUGUGUGCAGCAAUGAAGACCCAAGACUCUUUCGACACGCCUGGAAGAUGGCUAUCUCCCUCCAGUGACCUGGUGACUCCAUCAGGAAUAAUCCACUGUGAGCCCAGGACGCACAGAAAGCUGACAGUGGAGAAAGUACGCUCGUAG